rnacentral:ribozyme from 12 species
CAUUUCACUUUUUCUUUAUUUUUUUGUCUUCCAUUUUCUUGGAGAUUAUCCCACCGCCCGCCCAAAAAUAACAUACUAAUUAUGAGGUGUAGGCGAACGUACCAACAGAUCACAGAUAAGAAAAAAGAAAAAACGUGUUUUCCGCUUCUUACUUGAUGAAUGAAAACAAUGAAAACAAU